AUUGAACGCUGGCGGCAGGCUUAACACAUGCAAGUCGAGCGGUAACAGAGAGAAGCUUGCUUCUCUGCUGACGAGCGGCGGACGGGUGAGUAAUGCCUAGGAAUCUGCCUAGUAGUGGGGGAUAACUUGCCGAAAGGUAAGCUAAUACCGCAUACGUCCUACGGGAGAAAGGAGGGGACCUUCGGGCCUUUCGCUAUUAGAUGAGCCUAGGUCGGAUUAGUUAGUUGGUGAGGUAAUGGCUCACCAAGACCGCGAUCCGUAACUGGUCUGAGAGGAUAAUUAGUCAAACUGGAACUGAGACACGGUCCAGACUCCUACGGGAGGCAGCAGUGGGGAAUAUUGGACAAUGGGGGGAACCCUGAUCCAGCCAUGCCGCGUGUGUGAAGAAGGCCUUAGGAUUGUAAAGCACUUUAAGUUGGGAGGAAGAGCAGUUAACUAAUAUUUGACUGUUUUGACGUUACCGACAGAAUAAGCACCGGCUAACUCCGUGCCAGCCGCCGCCGUAA
rnacentral:rRNA from 1 species